rnacentral:sRNA from 1 species
UCGAUAACUGGAAUAUCCUUUUCGUCUAGAACGGCA